GUGCACCAGUCGCGAAAACCUCCGCAAUGCUCGAAAGAGCGACGGGGGGACUCCAAGUGCCUACGCUCAGCGUAGGCUGUUCCCGAGCCUAAAAAGCUCGGGGAGUAAGGGCUGGGUAAGACGGGUGCCAGCCGCCGCGGUAAUACCCGCAGCCCGAGUGGUGGCCGCUAUUAUUGGGCCUAAAGCGUCCGUAGCCGGCUCGGUAAAUGCCUGGGUAAAUCGUCUGGCCCAACCAGACGAAUUCCGGGUAGACUGCCGGGCUAGGGACCGGAGGAGGGAGAGGGUACUCCAGGGGUAGGGGUGAAAUCAGCAAGGUGAGUUGCUGAUGUAACUUGCCUUGCAAGUCACAAUCCUGUAAUCCCUGGAGGACCACCGGUGGCGAAGGCGCUCUCCUAGGACGGUCGACGGUGAGGGACGAAAGCCAGGGGAGCAAACCGGAUUAGAUACCCGUGUAGU
rnacentral:rRNA from 1 species